rnacentral:rRNA from 1 species
UACGUAGGGGGCAAGCGUUAUCCGGAUUUACUGGGUGUAAAGGGAGCGUAGACGGCUGUGCAAGUCUGAAGUGAAAGGCAUGGGCUCAACCUGUGGACUGCUUUGGAAACUGUGCAGCUAGAGUGUCGGAGAGGUAAGUAGAAUUCCUAGUGUAGCGGUGAAAUGCGUAGAUAUUAGGAGGAACACCAGUGGCGAAGGCGGCUUACUGGACGAUGACUGACGUUGAGGCUCGAAAGCGUGGGGAGCAAACAGG